UACGGGGGGAGCAAGCGUUGUUCGGAUUUACUGGGCGUAAAGGGCGCGUAGGCGGCCAGCACAAGUCAGUUGUGAAAUCUCCGAGCUUAACUCGGAAAGGUCAACUGAUACUGUGCGGCUAGAGUGCGGAAGGGGCAACUGGAAUUCUUGGUGUAGCGGUGAAAUGCGUAGAUAUCAAGAGGAACACCUGCGGCGAAGGCGGGUUGCUGGGCCGACACUGACGCUGAGGCGCGAAAGCCAGGGGAGCGAAUGGG
rnacentral:rRNA from 1 species